rnacentral:pre_miRNA from 1 species
GGGGGAGAGCAGGGUCCUGGGCUGUGUCCCCGUGGCUCUGGGAUCCGGGACCUGCACUGCUGGAAUCACGCUCCUGGGGCCCUGGCCCCU